rnacentral:rRNA from 1 species
AUGAGGACUGGUAUUGUUGCUGAUAUUGUGCGGGAGCUUCGUCAGAACCGAGAAGAUGCAAGUGUCCAUGGUGAAGAACAAAAUGUAACUGAUGGGGAAGGUGCUGCCUCCAAUGCACAAGCUAGAAGAAACCAUGCUCCUGCUCCCCAUGCCAUGAGACCUCUCGGUCCCGGACGUGGAAAUGAUCAUGGUAAUGGACGUGGUCGUCAUGAAGCUGCUACUGGUCGUGGUCUUAGAGGAGGCCACCGAAGAGCAAAUCUGCACCAUGAAGGUAGUGGAGAUGAGUUUGAUGAAGAUGAAGAUGGCAUGCACCAGAAUGACAGAUUUCAUCAUCGUAGAAACUAUGGUCGUGGACGGCAGGAGGAGGAGGAGAUGUACAAUGUUGAGGACAACCAACAACAUUCAGCACAUGAAGAAACAAGUUUUGGAGCCCAUACAACAAGUUUGAAGAGAACAAGUUUCAACUCUGAAGAAAGCCUUGUUUUGGUGACAAGGACGACUAUUUACACCGCAAGGAAGAAUAUCAAGCCAUCUCAACACUCUAUUGUUGCAUGUGCAGUUCCAGAAUUCGUCCCAAAACUUGUCGAAUCAUGCAACACAAAUAUAUGA